rnacentral:rRNA from 1 species
UACGAAGGGGGCUAGCGUUGUUCGGAAUCACUGGGCGUAAAGCGCACGUAGGCGGAUGUGCCAGUCAGGGGUGAAAUCCCGGAGCUCAACUUCGGAACUGCCUCUGAUACAGCACGUCUUGAGUCCGGAAGAGGUGGGUGGAAUUCCUAGUGUAGAGGUGAAAUUCGUAGAUAUUAGGAAGAACACCAGUGGCGAAGGCGGCCCACUGGUCCGGUACUGACGCUGAGGUGCGAAAGCGUGGGGAGCAAACAGG